rnacentral:rRNA from 1 species
UACGUAGGGUGCGAGCGUUAAUCGGAAUUACUGGGCGUAAAGCGUGCGCAGGCGGUUCGUCGUGUCCGAUGUGAAAGCCCCGGGCUCAACCUGGGAAUGGCAUUGGAAACUGGCGGACUCGAGUGUGGCAGAGGGGGGUGGAAUUCCGCGUGUAGCAGUGAAAUGCGUAGAUAUCGAGAGGAACACCGGUGGCGAAGGCGGCCAACUGGACGAAUACUGACGCUGAGACUCGAAAGCGUGGGGAGCAAACAGG